ACGAAGGCAGCAGUGGGGAAUAUUGCACAAUGGGGGAAACCCUGAUGCAGCGACGCCGCGUGAGUGAAGAAGUAUUUCGGUAUGUAAAGCUCUAUCAGCAGGGAAGAUAAUGACGGUACCUGACUAAGAAGCACCGGCUAAAUACGUGCCAGCAGCCGCGGUAAUACGUAUGGUGCAAGCGUUAUCCGGAUUUACUGGGUGUAAAGGGAGCGUAGACGGCAUGGCAAGUCUGAAGUGAAAGCCUGGGGCUCAACCCCGGAACUGCUUUGGAAACUGUUAAGCUAGAGUGCAGGAGAGGUAAGUGGAAUUCCUAGUGUAGCGGUGAAAUGCGUAGAUAUUAGGAGGAACACCAGUGGCGAAGGCGGCUUACUGGACUGUAACUGACGUUGAGGCUCGAAAGCGUGGGGAGCAAACAGGAUUAGAUACCCUGGUA
rnacentral:rRNA from 1 species